UACGAAGGGGGCUAGCGUUGCUCGGAAUCACUGGGCGUAAAGGGUGCGUAGGCGGGUUUUUAAGUCAGGGGUGAAAUCCUGGAGCUCAACUCCAGAACUGCCUUUGAUACUGAAGAUCUUGAGUCCGGGAGAGGUGAGUGGAACUGCGAGUGUAGAGGUGAAAUUCGUAGAUAUUCGCAAGAACACCAGUGGCGAAGGCGGCUCACUGGCCCGGUACUGACGCUGAGGCGCGAAAGCGUGGGGAGCAACAGG
rnacentral:rRNA from 1 species